rnacentral:rRNA from 1 species
CGUUUGACCUCGGAUCAGGUAGGGAUACCCGCUGAACUUAAGCAUAUCAAUAAGCGGAGGAAAAGAAACCAACAGGGAUUGCCCUAGUAACGGCGAGUGAAGCGGCAACAGCUCAAAUUUGAAAUCUGGCUCUUUUAGAGUCCGAGUUGUAAUUUGCAGAGGGCGCUUUGGCUUUGGCAGCGGUCCAAGUUCCUUGGAACAGGACGUCACAGAGGGUGAGAAUCCCGUACGUGGUCGCUAGCUAUUGCCGUGUAAAGCCCCUUCGACGAGUCGAGUUGUUUGGGAAUGCAGCUCUAAAUGGGAGGUAAAUUUCUUCUAAAGCUAAAUAUUGGCCAGAGACCGAUAGCGCACAAGUAGAGUGAUCGAAAGAUGAAAAGCACUUUGGAAAGAGAGUCAAACAGCACGUGAAAUUGUUGAAAGGGAAGCGCUUGCAGCCAGACUUGCUUGCAGUUGCUCAUCCGGGCUUUUGCCCGGUGCACUCUUCUGCAGGCAGGCCAGCAUCAGUUUGGGCGGUGGGAUAGAGGUCUCUGACACGUUCCUUCCUUCGGGUUGGCCAUAUAGGGGAGACGUCAUACCACCAGCCUGGACUGAGGUCCGCGCAUCUGCUAGGAUGCUGGCGUAAUGGCUGUAAGCGGCCCGUCUUGAAACACGGACCAAGGAGUCUAACAUCUAUGCGAGUGUUUGGGUGUCAAGCCCGAGCGCGUAAUGAAAGUGAACGGAGGUGGGAACCCGCAAGGGUGCACCAUCGACCGAUCCUGAAGUUUACGGAAGGAUUUGAGUAAGAGCAUGGCUGUUGGGACCCGAAAGAUGGUGAACUAUGCUUGAAUAGGGUGAAGCCAGAGGAAACUCUGGUGGAGGCUCGCAGCGGUUCUGACGUGCAAAUCGAUCGUCAAAUUUGGGCAUAGGGGCCGAAAGACUAAUCGAACUAUCUAGUAGCUGGUUCCUGCCGAAGUUUCCCUCAGGAUAGCAGUAGCGUA